rnacentral:rRNA from 1 species
AUUGAACGCUGGCGGCAGGCCUAACACAUGCAAGUCGAACGAGUGGCGUACGGGUGAGUAAUGUCUGGGAAACUGCCUGAUGGAGGGGGAUAACUACUGGAAACGGUAGCUAAUACCGCAUACCAUCAGAUGUGCCCAGCUGGGAUUAGCUUGUUGGUGGGGUAACGGAUAACCAAGGCGACGAUCACUAGCUGGUCUGAGAGGAUGACCAGCCACCCUGGAACGGAGACACGGUCCAGACUCCUAAGGGAGGCAGCAGUGGGGAAUAUUGCACAAUGGGCGCAAGCCUGAUGCAGCCAUGCCGCGUGUAUGAAGAAGGCCGUCGGGUUGUAAAGUACUUUCAGCGGGGAGGCGUUACCCGCAGAAGAAGCACCGGCUAACUCCGUGCCAGCAGCCGCGGUAAUUC